UGAAAUGCGAUAACUAGUGUGAAUUGCAUUACUUUGUGAAUCAUCGAGUCUUUGAACGCACAUUGCGCCUUUUGUUUCAACGAAAGGCAUGCCUGUUUGAGAAUCAUAAACACCCCCUCCGCACAGUCGUGCGGGUCUUGGGUCCUAAGGCGUGCCAUCAGUUAGAUGGCGUUAAGCGUCUUUGGCCUUAAAUGCAUACUUGAGUGGCGGCCGAUUUUAGUCGAUUCUCUUAGUGCAACAAGACCAGUAUGGCCUACGUUCGCAAAGAUGUUGACCGAACUUUGGCAGUCGUUAAGCUCAGGCUAGUUCGUCCCUGCGUCAAGCAAUUGAUGCGGACAAUUUGUAUACUUUGAUCUCAAGUCAGGCAAGACUACCCGCUGAACUUAA
rnacentral:misc_RNA from 1 species